rnacentral:lncRNA from 1 species
GCUAAUAUGAUUUGAUAGUAUGCAGAGAAUUAGGAACCAAUUCUCUUAGUGCCACUAAAAAUUAUAAGGCUUUUUUGCGUGCCACUAAAAAUUCACUUAGUGCCAUUGCUUUAACUUUCCAUAAUUUUAUGCCAUUUCCGUCGGUCCGCUGUUAAGUUGUUGUUAAGUUUGUAGGAAAAGACGAUUUUGCCCUUCCCAAGGCUGUGAAGCAAAAUUUGGCCAAUUUCCGUUGAAACCAUUGCCACGUGGUUUAGUUUAUGUGUGGAUUAAUA